GAUGAACGCUGGCGGCGUGCCUAAUACAUGCAAGUCGAGCGAACAGAUGAGGAGCUCGCUCCUCUGACGUUAGCGGCGGACGGGUGAGUAACACGUGGAUAACCUACCUAUAAGACUGGGAUAACUUCGGGAAACCGGAGCUAAUACCGGAUAAUAUAUUGAACCGCAUGGUUCAAUAGUGAAAGACGGUUUUGCUGUCACUUAUAGAUGGAUCCGCGCCGCAUUAGCUAGUUGGUAAGGUAACGGCUUACCAAGGCAACGAUGCGUAGCCGACCUGAGAGGGUGAUCGGCCACACUGGAACUGAGAAACGGUCCAGACUCCUACGGGAGGCAGCAGUAGGGAAUCUUCCGCAAUGGGCGAAAGCCUGACGGAGCAACGCCGCGUGAGUGAUGAAGGUCUUCGGAUCGUAAAACUCUGUUAUUAGGGAAGAACAAAUGUGUAAGUAACUAUGCACGUCUUGACGGUACCUAAUCAGAAAGCCACGGCUAGCUACGUG
rnacentral:rRNA from 1 species